rnacentral:rRNA from 1 species
CCUACGGGAGGCAGCAGUGGGGAAUAUUGCGCAAUGGGCGAAAGCCUGACGCAGCGACGCCGCGUGAGGGAUGAAGGCCUUCGGGUUGUAAACCUCUUUCAGCAGGGACGAAGCGAAAGUGACGGUACCUGCAGAAGAAGCACCGGCCAACUACGUGCCAGCAGCCGCGGUAAUACGUAGGGUGCAAGCGUUGUCCGGAAUUAUUGGGCGUAAAGAGCUCGUAGGCGGUUUGUCGCGUCGGCUGUGAAAACUCGGGGCUCAACCCCGAGCCUGCAGUCGAUACGGGCAAACUAGAGUGUGGUAGGGGAGACUGGAAUUCCUGGUGUAGCGGUGAAAUGCGCAGAUAUCAGGAGGAACACCGGCGGCGAAGGCGGGUCUCUGGGCCAUAACUGACGCUGAGGAGCGAAAGCGUGGGGAGCGAACAGGAUUAGAUACCCUGGUAGUCCACGCCGUAAACGUUGGGCGCUAGGUGUCGGGGACCUUCCACGUCUUCGGUGCCGCAGCUAACGCAUUAAGCGCCCCGCCUGGGGAGUACGGCCGCAAGGCUAAACUCAAAUGAAUUGACGG